rnacentral:rRNA from 1 species
UACAGAGGUCCCAAGCGUUGUUCGGAUUCACUGGGCGUAAAGGGUUCGUAGGUGGUGAGGCAAGUCGGAUGUGAAAUCUCCGAGCUCAACUCGGAAACUGCAUUGGAAACUACCUUGCUCGAGGGUUGGAGGGGGGACUGGAAUGCUUGGUGUAGCAGUGAAAUGCGUAGAUAUCAAGCGGAACACCAGUGGCGAAGGCGAGUCCCUGGACAACUCCUGACACUGAUGCACGAAAGCUAGGGGAGCAAACAGG